AUUGAACGCUGGCGGCAUGCCUUACACAUGCAAGUCGAACGGCAGCACGGGUGCUUGCACCUGGUGGCGAGUGGCGAACGGGUGAGUAAUAUAUCGGAACGUACCUUAUUGUGGGGGAUAACGCAGCGAAAGCUGUGCUAACACCGCAUAAUCCCUAAGGGGGAAAGCGGGGGACCGUAAGGCCUCGCGCAAUUAGAGCGGCCGAUACCUGAUUAGCUAGUUGGUGAGGUAAAGGCUCACCAAGGCAACGAUCAGUAGCUGGUCUGAGAGGACGAUCAGCCACACUGGGACUGAGACACGGCCCAGACUCCUACGGGAGGCAGCAGUGGGGAAUUUUGAACAAUGGGGGCGACCCUGAUCCAGCAAUGCCGCGUGAGUGAAGAAGGCCUUCGGGUUGUAAAGCUCUUUUGUCAGGGAAGAAACAGCAGCUCUAACACAGUUUGCGAAUGACGGUACCUGAAGAAUAAGCACCGGCUAACUACGUGCCAGCCGCCGCCGUAA
rnacentral:rRNA from 1 species